AGAAAACUGUCCCAAACCCCCUGCCCGUCGUCCGGGGCCAGGGCCGAAGAGGCCUGCCAGAAACUGAAGCUGCACCGGGUGGUCCUGCUGUGGUCCCGGAGGCUGGCCCAGCACCGGCAGGCAGACUCUUUCUCCCAGAAAAGGAGGCUGCGGAUUCUUCAGAACGCCCUGCAGCAGUGGCGGUGGAAGGCCCAGGCAGCAGGGUCAUGCCCUGCCAGCUCCACUGACUGCCCCCUGGAGCCCUUUGCUGGCUCUCAGGACUCGGAGGAGCAGCCCCCCUCCUCAGGAUGCUCCGGCAGUGCUCCAAGUGCCCCCAGAAGCUCAUCAGAGGGGGUCCACAGCCCGACUGAUUGCAGCAGCUCCUUCCUGAGCCCAGCAGGGGAUGAGGUGCUGCCCCUGCGCUUGAGGUCACUUUCUUUGGAGGCCCCGGACUCCUGGAGGAUCUCCUUCCCUCUUGAGUGAGCGCUGAGACCGACAUCUGAGCCAAUUUUUGUCCUGGUCUCAUCCCCAGCCCUUAGCACAGUGCCCGGCAUUCAGUAGGUGCUUAAUAAGUGCUUUAAUCAUGUCAUGACUUGGCCUUAGGGUGCUGGUACCUCUCAGUUUGCAGGUGCGAAGGGUGGAGGUAAUUUUGUUCUCUACCUGCCUCCUACCCCCCACUCAAGCUCCUGUGAGCCCCUCCUUUGCCUGGUCCUCUGGGUGACCAUUGAGAGACGGAUCAGGGAGUAGCCGAGGGACCCCACCCCCACCCCCUGCUCAGGUGGGCUGCCCAUGGGCAAAGCCUUCCUUCCUCUGAAAAAUGGUGGCAGGAAUUCAAUUUAAAAACAAACCCUGGCUACCUCCCAGAAUGGGUUUCCAUCAUCCCCAAGGAAGGGGGCUCUUCACUCUUUUGCUCGCUGUCAGGGCGGUCCCCCAUCCUUGCCCCUGGGCAGCCAGUGGCUGGGUAGCUUUGCUGCCUUACUCUUUCCUAGGCAAAUGUGGCCCCAGCUCUGUAACCAGCAGGAUCCUGGACCCAGGAGACAGCUGUUGGCCCGCCUUCCUCCAGGAGAAGAAACGGGCCCCCUGGGAAAAGCUGUUCAGGUUCCCAGAGACCCCAGCCACUUGGAUGCCCCCCAGCAAGAGAUAAGGUGGCAGCAGGGGGCUCAAGAAGCCCCAGAACCCAAGCCGCAUUGGCAGGUCACACUCCAGAUCUGGAUCCUCACUGACCCAGUUGAGUUGACCGACCCUCAGGGACAGGACUGGAGGACAGCUGGGAAUCAGAUCCCCCGCUCCAGGCAGCAGGGUCUCCUGAGCUCUCCCUGGGCCCACCAGGAUGCAGCACUGCCCACAGGGAUGCCGAGGCAUCAGCUGACCAAGGACAAGGAGGGCACCUUUGUGGGCACCAGACCCAGUGUCCUGCACCCCCAGAGACUGGCCUUCAGAGGAAACCACGUCCUGGGUGCAGAUCCCGACACUCAACGCCAGCAGGCCGGCAACUACUGGACGAGGGCCACAGCCUUGGCUCCAGACAAGAGGAAAUCCCACAGCCACAUUGGACAGAGGAAGAUGUUAGCAAUUCUGGGUGGCCCAAAGCAGAACUUUCUGCUGCCUUCUUUCCCGUGUUUGCCUCUCCACUGUAGACGGACCAGCCAGGAGAAGCUGGGGAAGGCUCCUAGAGAACCAGCAGGCAGCGCCCGGUCGGUCCGGAUCCCCAGGAGCAGAGGACGCCCGAGAGCAGUGGUGCUGGAGGAAACAUGGCUAGAGAGAAAGUACCUCCAGAGGUGGAGACACAAGGUAUUGCUUCAAAGGUUCCAUGGCCAGCAAAGGAGGAGGAGGCUGGCGGAAGUCUGGCAAUGCUGGAUAGGAGCUCAGGGAUCAGAGCAGCUGGCUCGGACAUUGGUGAGCCUUGGUGGAAAGGAUCAUUGAAUUAUAGCAUCAUAAAUCAGAAGGGACCCAGCAUCAUUUAUUUUAGGCCGGCCAGCUCCAAUUCCAGUUUUUUGUGUGUUUUUAAUUUUAUUUCCCCCAAUUGCAUGUAAAAACAAUAUUUAUAUUUAUUUUAAAAUUAUGAGUGCCAAAUUCUUUCCCUCUUCCCUCCCCAAUUUGAAAUGGAUAAUCCACGUGCAGGCGGGCAAAAACGUAUUCCCCUUUCUACUUCUAGUCUUUAAAGGUACCAAAUAGGUUCUGUUGGGAUGCCACAGGCCUUUUGCACCUGCUGGGACUCCUCUCAUCCCUGCCCGUGCUCCCUAGAACUGCUAGAUCAGGAUUCGCCCAGGUGACUCCCCCAGGUGAGCCUUCCUCCUGACCUCAUGUUGCCCUCGUACAGGUUAGGCAGCGGCGGCUGGAAUGGGGCUGGAGGAUGUGGCGCAGGCGGUGGCUGCAGCUUCAGGCGGCUCUGUGUUUGCGAGAAGACCACAGAGUCCUCUCUCAGGUACCCAUGACAACCAGGUGAUGACCCUCGGACCAAGGACGCAGGUGCUUCUAGGCCUGCGGUGGGACCCUAGCUUCUCCUCUCCCGGGACUGUUCCCCUGCAGACCUGCUGCCCUUUGCCCCAUCCCAACGCGUCCCAGAGGGACGUUCGCUUCUGUUGCGUUUGUUAAAGGAGUUCAGAAGAAACUUUUGAAUUUCAAGCCCCAACUUCUCUCCUCAGACGUCACCCAAGAUUGCCCUUGUCCAGAAAAGUUCUGCAGGUCCUCCCAGCCCUUCUCCCCAUCCCCAUUCCAGCUGUCUGGCUAGUGGGAGCCGGCGCCCCCCUUCCCGGGCCCAUGCCAUCCUGAGCAGUUUUCCUCCAUGUUUCCCCAGAUAUUCUGGGUUAAUGCAUUCUGCCUUGGCCCGCUGCCUUCUCAAGGGUGGAGGGGCAUUUUAUUUAGAUUUCCUAAGGGGGAAGGGCUAGAACUCAAGGACAGCUGUUGCCUCCUCUUAGCAUGGACAGUCUGACCCUGAGGCUGGGCAGGGAGCCAGGGACAGAACUAUCUAAAGAUAGGAUUUCAUUCCCCAUUACCCUUCUGCCCUUGGUUUCAGGCCUUUGGAAGAUGGUACCAGCGCUGGGCAGCCCGGGUGCCCGGGAAAGGGAGCACGGGCCAGGGAUCAGGGGCCAGCGUCGUAUCCCAUUAGUCACAGCCCGUAGGAGUGGGGGGCAGGACCUGCUCAGCCGUCUCUGUCAGGGGAAGAAGUCCAGCCCUGCCCCCAUCCCAUUCUACCCACCAGGGCCGACAAAGAAAGUCCAGCAAACUCAUCUGAUAAAGUUUUAAUGAAAAAUAGCCUCGGGGCAGAAACCCUGCCUUUGACAGACAAUAAAGUACUAUUCCUUUCCCAGUCUUCUUCUAGGUUGAAUCUGUGCCCUGCAUUGGAGGGCCCAGCCUACUCUGGGCCAGAUUUGGAGCAAUAUAUUUCAGUUUAUAGGUGUGACCUUUAACCGGAGGGGACCAGAAACUUGCCAUGUGAUAGAAAAAACCCAAAACUUGGGGAUCCAGAACAUAACUACCUUCAAAUGCUUUUAUGGAGAGAAGGAAUGCGCCUCAGAGGGGGGGAGAGGAGAGAAGAGCUGGCUCCAGGCAGAUUUAAACUCGCCCCAAAGGCUGGGCGACUGCAGCCGAGACAGAGGCUUCCAAGUGGCCUGGGCUUGUAAGCAGAACUUGGGAUGCUCUAAGGGGAUCCUGUGUAGGCCAUUGGUCUAAAACGACCACCAAAGUCCCCCCGCUGUGAUCUGGGGAGCUCCCACCUCCAGGGUCGGUGCUGGCUGGAACUGGGGGGUCACCCUUCCCAGGUUCUGCUUUGCUGCAAGUUUCCUUCUGUCCACCCCCCUUUCCUCCCUAGCUAGGGUUUCUUUCUGCUGACCUAGCACAGGCUCUAAGACAGCUGAUCUCAGCUCUAGAAGGGGAGGGGGUGGAAUGGGAGUGGGGAGGAUGGAGAGAGGCCCUUAACCCUGUAGCUGCCAGAUUGCACGAUUGACCCAAGUGUCAUGGAAAGUGCUAGUUGCUGAUAUUCAUUCACACACGAGACAAACGAGGAGAGGAAGGAGCGGGUCAGACCUGAGCAUAGUAGAUAAAGAGGUAUAAAAAAAGCAGCAGAUAUCAGCCAGGGUCGGUCAAAAGGCCCCCUGAGAGAAUGCUGGCGGGCCCAGCAGGGAAGGAAAUGAGGGGCCCCAAAGCUUCCCAGCCACGUGACCGGCUCCUUUUGGUCUAGCACUGACCCCUUUGCCCUCCAGGGUCAUAGCUCUUCUCCUCCUCUACCUUCUAAGACCCCUGAAGAGGAAAAAGGGCCCCUAUAAAUGCUUUGGAGUAGCUUGAAACCCCAUAAGGCGUUUUGUUUCAGAAGGGGAGUCUGGAAACAAAGCAGCUUAUGAGGUUAGUGUAGUGCAGAGAGCCAGUCCUGGAAUCCAGAAGGCGAGAGGGAGAGUCCACCUUGGGAGUUUCCGGCCAGUCCAGAAAGUAAAAAUGCCAGUAAAUAUGGCAGCCUCGAACAAGGCUCCAGGGGAAGGGAAGCAUUGCUCCAUGGGAGGCAGAAGAGUUCCUGCUGAGCUCUGCUUUCACAGAUGGGGAAACCGAGGCAAAGCCCAGCAUCCCUGGGAGGAGGCGGGGCAUUUCCAGGCACGUCUGGGACUGACCCUGCUUGUGGCCAGUUCUUUGGAAGGCCAGCACUCCAGCCCUGUGUUCAGGCUCACUUCCCCUCCCCAGGAGAACUGAGCCACUGGCUCUCCACGGCCUGGAGCAGGGAUGUUGCAGGACGGAGUCACUCCCCAACAAAAGGGGGAAAUAGUAUACGUAGAGUGUGGGGGAAAUCCCACAGGCCUUGAUAGUGCGGAACAGACUCAGGGCAAAUCCAAGCACAGAGGGGUGACCAGUCAGCUGCCCCCCCUGGGGGAGUGAUGGGAGCCAGGGCGAGGGUGAUGGGAUGGGAUGGAGAAGAGAACACUGGAGAAUCCUCGAAGGAGGGGAGUGGGGGGAGAGGAGCCUGGGGAGCUCAGGAGUCAGGCUGAGGAGGGCAAUGGGGACGAUUCCCUGAGCUUCCCCGUCUCUCACUGAGGGUCAGGCCGGCUGAGGAGCUCAAAGGUGUCUUCUAGGACCUGCCACAAACAGUUGUCCAAGGGGAACUCGUUAUCCACUAGGUUGACCAGGUGAUAGUUGUCGUGGAUAUACUGGAUGAUCAUCCGCGAGGGGGAUUCCUCUUCAUACAGUUUCCCCCAUUGCUCAAUCCACAGGGCAAAGGCCUCAUCCUAGACACACAGAGGCAAGGUCAGUGGGAGCCGGGCUGGGGCUGGACAAGGGGCAGGGCCGGAGCCCGACAUCCCUCCUCUUCUUCAUUGCCCCUUCCCUCCCAUCCCCCACUUGGCAAGAUGGCUGAGAGCCCAGAGAGCCUCAGCUAAGGAGUAAACUCCCCUUCUCAAAAUGCCACUUGAGCAGAAAGGGAGGCCCUGGCAGCCCAAGGAACGUGGCGAUAAAUGUGGAAAUAUGGCUAGAAGAAUUGCACGUUUAACAUGAUGUCUGGGAUAGGGGGAGCCGGGGAGGGAGGGAGAAACAUUUGGAACACAAGAUUUUGCAAGGGUGGAUGGGUGUUGAAAACUAUCUUUGCCUUGCAUGUAUUUGGGAAAAUAAAAAGCCAUUGUUUAAAAACAAAACAAAACAAAACAAAACAAAACAAAAAAAAAAAAAACCAAAAAAAAAAAAAAAAACAGGAACCGGACUGGCUGGGAAGGUAGGUCAGUUUAAAGUGACUGCAGACAAGUUUUCCCAGCUUCUCAGGUCACCCUCUCCCCAAGCGGAGUCAGAGCUCCUCACCUCGGAUGUCCGGUCUGCCAGUUUUGCAGAGGGCGGCCAGCGAUUGUGAGUGCAAA
ensembl:lncRNA